UGAACGCUAGCGGCAGGCUUAACACAUGCAAGUCGAGGGGCAGCACGAAGUAAGCUUGCUUACUUUGGUGGCGACCGGCGCACGGGUGCGUAACAGGUGUGCAAUCUGUCCAUAAUCGGGGAAUAGCCCAGCGAAAGUUGGAUUAAUGCUCCAUGUGAGCAGGGGAGGCAUCUCCUUUGUUUGAAACGUAAGGAUUAUGGGUGAGCACGCUUCUGAUUAGGUAGUUGGUGAGGUAACGGCUCACCAAGCCGACGAUCAGUAGGGGUUCUGAGAGGAAGGUCCCCCACAUUGGAACUGAGACACGGUCCAAACUCCUACGGGAGGCAGCAGUGAGGAAUAUUGGUCAAUGGACGAAAGUCUGAACCAGCCAAGUCGCGUGAAGGAUGAAGGUUCUAUGGAUUGUAAACUUCUUUUGUCUGAGGGUAAAAAAGCGGACGUGUCCGUUCUUGCAAGUAUCAGACGAAUAAGCAUCGGCUAACUCCGUG
rnacentral:rRNA from 1 species